UACGGGGGGGGCAAGCGUUGUUCGGAAUUACUGGGCGUAAAGCGUGCGCAGGCGGUUAUGCAAGACAGAGGGGAAAUCCCCGGGCUCAACCUGGGAACUGCCUUUGUGACUGCAUAGCUAGAGUACGGUAGAGGGGGAUGGAAUUCCGCGUGUAGCAGUGAAAUGCGUAGAUAUGCGGAGGAACACCGAUGGCGAAGGCAAUCCCCUGGACCUGUACUGACGCUCAUGCACGAAAGCGUGGGGAGCAAACAGG
rnacentral:rRNA from 1 species